UGGGGAAUAUUGGACAAUGGGCGCAAGCCUGAUCCAGCCAUGCCGCGUGAGUGAUGACGGCCCUAGGGUUGUAAAGCUCUUUCGCACGCGACGAUAAUGACGGUAGCGUGAGAAGAAGCCCCGGCUAACUUCGUGCCAGCAGCCGCGGUAAUACGAAGGGGGCUAGCGUUGCUCGGAAUCACUGGGCGUAAAGGGCGCGUAGGCGGGCUCUUAAGUCAGGGGUGAAAGCCCAAGGCUCAACCUUGGAAUUGCCUUUGAUACUGAGGGCCUUGAGACCGGAAGAGGUCGGCGGAACUGCGAGUGUAGAGGUGAAAUUCGUAGAUAUUCGCAAGAACACCAGUGGCGAAGGCGGCCGACUGGUCCGGUUCUGACGCUGAGGCGCGAAAGCGUGGGGAGCAAACAGGAUUAGAUACCCUGGUAGUCCACGCCGUAAACGAUGGAUGCUAGCCGUUGGCGGGUUUACCCGUCAGUGGCGCCGCUAACGCUUUAAGCAUCCCGCCUGGGGAGUACGGUCGCAA
rnacentral:rRNA from 1 species